rnacentral:rRNA from 1 species
CUUGGUCAUUUAGAGGAAGUAAAAGUCGUAACAAGGUUUCCGUAGGUGAACCUGCGGAAGGAUCAUUAUCGAAAUUAUUGGUGAGGGUUGUAGCUGGCCUUUCGAGGCAUGUGCACGCUCGAGCCCUUAAUCCACUUUACACCUGUGCACUUAAUGUAGGUCGCCCUUAAAAAAAAGGUGACCUAUGUCUUAUCAUCAACCCAUCGUAUGUCUCAUAGAAUGUAAUCGAUAUCCUCGCCCUAAAAAAGCGUUGAUAAACUUAUACAACUUUCAACAACGGAUCUCUUGGCUCUCGCAUCGAUGAAGAACGCAGCGAAAUGCGAUAAGUAAUGUGAAUUGCAGAUUUUCAGUGAAUCAUCGAAUCUUUGAACGCACCUUGCGCUCCUUGGUAUUCCGAGGAGCAUGCCUGUUUGAGUGUCAUUAAAUUCUCAACUCCAAGGGUUUCACGACCUUUCGGAGAUUGGACUUGGAGGUGCUGGCCGCAUAUUGGUCGGCUCCUCUCAAAUGCAUCAGCGGAAUUCAACCUUUGGCUUCCGGAUGUCAGUGUGAUAAUCAUGUUGCGCUGUCGUUUGAUCCCUCAGAGUCCGCUUAUAAUGGUCUUCGGACAAAAUCAUCAUCAAAUUUGACCUCAAAUCAGGUAGGACUACCCGCUGAACUUAAGCAUAUCAAUAAGCGGAGGA